AAAGCUCCUUGUUGCAAUGUUUUCUGUUGGUGACUGGAUGCCUCCAGGGGCUAAUGAGGAGAUGUAAAACUACAGUGAACCCAGUGACCAUUUCAAAUCUAGGCCUAGGAACUACCAUUGCCUCAUACUCCAGAUCGUAAAGUACUUCCAGUAAUACAAAGACUUUGUACCAGUGUUUGGCUUCUGUGGGAAUGGUCUGAGGUUUCCUGAAGACAAGACACACCUCAUCUCAUGGUCUGAAACCACACUUCACAGAGAAUAAGCUGAUUGUGUGAGAAAAAUCGGAGUCUGGGGAAGACUCAGAAGCUUUGGCUGAGGAUCAGGUUCACUCUGUGACUGAGGAUAAGUCACCUAGAG